GAUGAACGCUGGCGGCGUGCCUAACACAUGCAAGUCGAACGGAAAGGCCCUGCUCUUGUGCGGUGCUCGAGUGGCGAACGGGUGAGUAACACGUGUGUAUCCUGUCCUUGUCUUUGGGAUAACUCCAGGAAACUGGGGCUAAUAUCGGAUAGGAGAUCUUGCUGCAUGGUGGGGGAUGGAAAGUUUCGGCGGUUGGGGAUGGUCUCGCGGCUUAUCGGCUUGUUGGUGGGGUAGUGGCUUUCCAAGGUUUUGACGGGUAGGCGGCCUGGGAGGGUGACCGGGGACAAUGGGACUGAGAGAGGGCGCAGACGGCAACGGGAGGCAACGGGGGGGAGUAUUGCGCAGUGGGCGGGAGCCUGAUGCGGCGGCGCCGGGUGCGGAAUGACGGCCUUCGAGUUAUGAACCGCUUUCGCCUGUGACAAAGCGUGAGUGACGGUAAUGGAUAAAAAAGCACCGGCUAACUACGUG
rnacentral:rRNA from 1 species